GGGGAUUUAGCUCAGCGGCAUAAGCGCCUGCCUUGCAAGCAGGCGGUCAUGAGUUCGAUUCCCAGUACCG
rfam:Cavia porcellus supercont2_28 genomic scaffold, whole genome shotgun sequence.